UUCAGCAGCCAUAUCACCCUGCAACUCACAACUGGCAACCCACUGAAGCUAAGCAGGUGUGAGCCUGGUCAGUACCUGGAUGGGAGACCUCCUGGGAAAAACUAAGGUUGUUGCUGGAA
ensembl:rRNA 5S_rRNA 5S ribosomal RNA